GACGAACGCUGGCGGCGUGCUUAACACAUGCAAGUCGAACGGAAAGGCCCUGCUUUUGUGGGGUGCUCGAGUGGCGAACGGGUGAGUAACACGUGAGUAACCUGCCCUUGACUUUGUGAUAACUUCAGGAGACUGGGGCUAAUACCGGAUAGGAUCUCCUGCUGCAUGGUGGGGGUUGGAAAGUUUCGGCGGUUGGGGCUGGACUCGCGGCUUAUCAGCUUGUUGGUGGGGUAGUGGCUUACCAAGGCUUUGACGGGUAGCCGGCCUGAGAGGGUGACCGGCGACCUUGGGACUGAGAUACGGAGCAGAAUCCUACGGGACGCAGCAGGGGGGAACCUUGCAGAAUGGGCGGAAGCCUGAUGCAGCAACGCCGCGUGCGGGAUGACGGCCUUCGGGUUGUAAACCGCUUUCGCCUGUGACGAAGCGUGAGUGACGGUAAUGGGUAAAGAAGCACCGGCUAACUACGUG
rnacentral:rRNA from 1 species